GGGUUGUGAGGUUAAGCGACUAAGCGUACACGGUGGAUGCCCUGGCAGUCAGAGGCGAUGAAGGACGUGCUAAUCUGCGAUAAGCGUCGGUAAGGUGAUAUGAACCGUUAUAACCGGCGAUUUCCGAAUGGGGAAACCCAGUGUGAUUCGUCACACUAUCGUUAACUGAAUACAUAGGUUAACGAAGCGAACCGGGGGAACUGAAACAUCUAAGUACCCCGAGGAAAAGAAAUCAACCGAGAUUCCCCCAGUAGCGGCGAGCGAACGGGGAGCAGCCCAGAGUCUGAAUCAGCUUGUGUGUUAGUGGAACGGUCUGGAAAGUCCGACGGUACAGGGUGAUAGUCCCGUACACCAAAAUGCACAGGUUGUGAACUCGAAGAGUAGGGCGGGACACGUGGUAUCCUGUCUGAAUAUGGGGGGACCAUCCUCCAAGGCUAAAUACUCCUGACUGACCGAUAGUGAACCAGUACCGUGAGGGAAAGGCGAAAAGAACCCCGGCGAGGGGAGUGAAAAAGAACCUGAAACCGUGUACGUACAAGCAGUGGGAGCCUCUUUAUGGGGUGACUGCGUACCUUUUGUAUAAUGGGUCAGCGACUUAUAUUCUGUAGCAAGGUUAACCGUAUAGGGGAGCCGAAGGGAAACCGAGUCUUAACUGGGCGUUAAGUUGCAGGGUAUAGACCCGAAACCCGGUGAUCUAGCCAUGGGCAGGUUGAAGGUUGGGUAACACUAACUGGAGGACCGAACCGACUAAUGUUGAAAAAUUAGCGGAUGACUUGUGGCUGGGGGUGAAAGGCCAAUCAAACCGGGAGAUAGCUGGUUCUCCCCGAAAGCUAUUUAGGUAGCGCCUCGUGAACUCAUCUUCGGGGGUAGAGCACUGUUUCGGCUAGGGGGUCAUCCCGACUUACCAACCCGAUGCAAACUGCGAAUACCGAAGAAUGUUAUCACGGGAGACACACGGCGGGUGCUAACGUCCGUCGUGAAGAGGGAAACAACCCAGACCGCCAGCUAAGGUCCCAAAGUCAUGGUUAAGUGGGAAACGAUGUGGGAAGGCACAGACAGCCAGGAUGUUGGCUUAGAAGCAGCCAUCAUUUAAAGAAAGCGUAAUAGCUCACUGGUCGAGUCGGCCUGCGCGGAAGAUGUAACGGGGCUAAACCAUGCACCGAAGCUGCGGCAGCGACACUAUGUGUUGUUGGGUAGGGGAGCGUUCUGUAAGCCGUUGAAGGUGUAUCGUGAGGUAUGCUGGAGGUAUCAGAAGUGCGAAUGCUGACAUAAGUAACGAUAAUGCGGGUGAAAAACCCGCACGCCGGAAGACCAAGGGUUCCUGUCCAACGUUAAUCGGGGCAGGGUGAGUCGACCCCUAAGGCGAGGCCGAAAGGCGUAGUCGAUGGGAAACAGGUUAAUAUUCCUGUACUUGGUGUUACUGCGAAGGGGGGACGGAGAAGGCUAUGUUAGCCGGGCGACGGUUGUCCCGGUUUAAGCAUGUAGGCGGAGGUUCCAGGUAAAUCCGGUACCUUUUAACGCUGAGGUGUGAUGACGAGGCACUACGGUGCUGAAGUAACAAAUGCCCUGCUUCCAGGAAAAGCCUCUAAGCAUCAGGUAACACGAAAUCGUACCCCAAACCGACACAGGUGGUCAGGUAGAGAAUACCAAGGCGCUUGAGAGAACUCGGGUGAAGGAACUAGGCAAAAUGGUGCCGUAACUUCGGGAGAAGGCACGCUGAUAUGUAGGUGAAGUGAUUUACUCAUGGAGCUGAAAUCAGUCGAAGAUACCAGCUGGCUGCAACUGUUUAUUAAAAACACAGCACUGUGCAAACACGAAAGUGGACGUAUACGGUGUGACGCCUGCCCGGUGCCGGAAGGUUAAUUGAUGGGGUUAUCCGUAAGGAGAAGCUCUUGAUCGAAGCCCCGGUAAACGGCGGCCGUAACUAUAACGGUCCUAAGGUAGCGAAAUUCCUUGUCGGGUAAGUUCCGACCUGCACGAAUGGCGUAAUGAUGGCCAGGCUGUCUCCACCCGAGACUCAGUGAAAUUGAACUCGCUGUGAAGAUGCAGUGUACCCGCGGCAAGACGGAAAGACCCCGUGAACCUUUACUAUAGCUUGACACUGAACACUGGUCCUUGAUGUGUAGGAUAGGUGGGAGGCUUUGAAGUGUGGACGCCAGUCUGCAUGGAGCCAUCCUUGAAAUACCACCCUUUAAUGGCUGGUGUUCUAACGUGGACCCGUAAUCCGGGUUGCGGACAGUGUCUGGUGGGUAGUUUGACUGGGGCGGUCUCCUCCUAAAGAGUAACGGAGGAGCACGAAGGUUAGCUAAUCCUGGUCGGACAUCAGGAGGUUAGUGCAAAGGCAUAAGCUAGCUUGACUGCGAGAGUGACGGCUCGAGCAGGUGCGAAAGCAGGUCUUAGUGAUCCGGUGGUUCUGAAUGGAAGGGCCAUCGCUCAACGGAUAAAAGGUACUCCGGGGAUAACAGGCUGAUACCGCCCAAGAGUUCAUAUCGACGGCGGUGUUUGGCACCUCGAUGUCGGCUCAUCACAUCCUGGGGCUGAAGUAGGUCCCAAGGGUAUGGCUGUUCGCCAUUUAAAGUGGUACGCGAGCUGGGUUUAGAACGUCGUGAGACAGUUCGGUCCCUAUCUGCCGUGGGCGCUGGAGAAUUGAGGGGGGCUGCUCCUAGUACGAGAGGACCGGAGUGGACGCAUCACUGGUGUUCGGGUUGUCAUGCCAAUGGCAUUGCCCGGUAGCUAAAUGCGGAAGAGAUAAGUGCUGAAAGCAUCUAAGCACGAAACUUGCCCCGAGAUGAGUUCUCCCUGAGACUAUAAGUCUCCUGAAGGAACGUUGAAGACGACGACGUUGAUAGGUCGGGUGUGUAAGUGUAGCGAUACAUUGAGCUAACCGAUACUAAUGAACCGUGAGGCUUAACCUUACAACGCCGAAG
rnacentral:rRNA from 1 species